AGACAUAGACCACUGUUACUAAUGGAUCGUUUAGAUUUGGUACAAUAUUGUUUAGACUAAAUAAAAGAUCGUUUAUGUUGGAUUUAUGUCCUAAAACUCGUAGAUUGUAAAUAUAAUCUAUUAAUCGUUGUUAAUAACAUGUUAUUAUUGUAAUAAUUGUUAUUGGUUAUAAUAUUAGUUGUCUUAAUAACUCAAAUCAAACAAACUAACAUCCUAAGUUGUUUAAUGAAUCUUAAACAGUAUGUAGAGACAUAUAGGGAUAAAGGUUCAAGAUCAGCUUAAAGGUUCUAUAGUACAAGGAUAAGGCUGAAUACCUAAUCCUGGUAACACUAUGAAUAUGGCUCACUUUGUAUUUGAUACAAACACAAUGAUUCAACGCGUUUGUGUAGUUGACAUACGAGUGACGGUAUCUUAUGCAAUAAGUUUACAUAAGAUCAGACGGCAAAAUAAUAACUACUAAAUGAAACUCUGUUACUAGUCAGGUUUCUAUUCAUUAGGAUGACCUAGGUAACUUAGUUUUAAUUGUAACGCCCCAACUUUUCUAGAAGGUUGAGGUCAUUACUAUUUAAGUAAAUAUAUAUUUUUUUUAAUAUACAAGAAAAUAAAUUAAAAUUUGAGGAAAAACUUUAAAUAAUAAGUAGUUAAAAUAACUGAUCAAAAUACCAGUUUGGGCCCAAAAAUAAAAGAAAUACUUAAAGUAAUUGAACCAGAGUUCUGAAAUAAACCUAUGAAAAUAUAACUAUUGAAAUAUAAAUGCGGAAGAAAACUGAAUUGUUCCCUAUGGCGAUCUAUGAUCACUUCUUAUCAUUCGCUAUUAUGCCCUUGCCUCUACCCUUACCUGAAAUUAAACAUUUAAAAGAGUGAGUAUAAAUUUAUACUUAGUAAGAGACCCAUAGUGGUCUCACUAUGUGUCUGUUAACCUUUCGUUAGAGUCCUGUAACAUGUACCGCAUACUAUUGCGCUCCCGAACGCAUACUAUCAAGUGGUUCCAUAGGGACACAUCUAGGCUCUCGGUGAACCCGAAGGAAUCAUCCUAUAGGAGAGUCAGGCUGUAAGUGAUCCCGUCGAAUCACAUCUCAAACAAGUCACACAUGCAUACAUAGGUGGUGACCCUGAUGGACCCCCAUACGGUACAACUCUAAUAGGCAAAACUAACAGAACACUAUAGCCUAUACAUGUUUAUCAUAAGAUCAACAUCUUAGCUCAAUUACACAUAACUCAAAAGUAACAUAUUUGAUUAUAGCAUGCCUCAACAAAUAAUACUAUAUCUAAAUCAUAAUAUGGUUUUCAAAGUAACUAUUUAUACGACCAUCUCAAACAACAUAAUUCAACUCAUUCCAGUGCUAACUCAUUUUAGACCCAAAACAAUAAUUAUUUGGGUGUACCAAACCCAACGAGAAUUAAGCAAAAACUCACCAAGGGCUUAAAUAUGUUGCAGACGGCUAAAACUGAAGGUGGCUCGACUAACAACGCUUCAGCUCGAGCCUUGAGACUCACGCUGGCAUACGACUCACACAG
rnacentral:lncRNA from 1 species